rnacentral:lncRNA from 1 species
UACUACCUCACCCUGGGAACAUGAAUAUCUCCAUACUACCUCACCCUGGGAACAUGAAUAUCUCCAUACUACCUCACCCUGGGAACAUGAAUAUCUCCUCGGAAUAUAUGCUAUAUCCAUAAUACCUCAUCCUGGGAACAUGAAUAUAUCUUCUCCAGCAAUAUAUGUUAUAUCCAUACUCCCUCACCCUGGGAACAUGAAUAUCUCCUCCAGCAAUCCCAACCUACUUAGAAAUGAGAUUUUUGGCCAACAGUAUCAUAACCUCUUCAUCAUAUUCAAUGAGAUUGAUGGAUCUUUGCCACCUCUAUUACAGUAACUCAGGAGUACUAAACUUUGAGGUUUCCUUUCAGCUGGUA